ACCUUCUUCCCAAUUUACCCUGCCCCGUGUGGUUUAAGGGCCAUAACGUUAUGCACCCCUAGGGGAGAGGAACCCUUUGGAAAGCGGGGGGGAGACAUCCUUGCUGCUAGUGCUGAAAAGAAAUCUGCCUGCCUGGCAUCCUGGAGGCAAAUAAAGAAAUAAAUCUCCGUGAUUGUGAGGGAGAGGAGCAGAAACGUACAAGUAAAAGUGAGGAGCUGGUGACAGC